rnacentral:other from 19 species
GCGUACUUAAUGAUUAAGCAAUUCCUUUUUCAUAAAGAGUUUCAUUCUUAUUAAGUAUUAUGUUGUGUUUGCAUAUUGUUCGGGAAACCGAACGCAAGUAACUUAGUUACUUAUUUAACUUCCUGUAUAUUUUUAAACCUAAUUUUGGGUUCGUAAUGCACCGCUCUUUGUGAGCGGUGUUUUUUUAU